rnacentral:lncRNA from 1 species
UGCCCUUCUGUUUUGAAAAUAUUUACAGCUCUGUGCCACUGCUUUAUUUAAAACAUAUGCUUUUUAAUUAUAUGGAUAUAUUAUCGAUAAAUCUUUUAAUCCAGCUACAAUUUAAUUUAAAAUUUCCAUUCCCAUCGGACCAAGCUAAGUUUUAGAAAAACCCAUAAUCGUUCUUCAUUCCUUAUAAAGUACAUUUUUUCUUAGCUCUUGAAACUAAAAUUUUGUUGCCUUUAUCAACGCUCACUUUUCAACAUUGAAACAUAUCGAUGUCACAUAUUGGAUCCUGCAUUUUCAACAUUUAAACUAUACAUUAUUAUACACAUCAGUGUUUCAACCAUUCAUAUCUUGCAAACAAUGUUGUAGGUACAAUCAGUUGUAUAAGAUUCAACAUUUCAAUUAUACAUGUUGCCCUAUUCUAAAAUAUGAAUUUCUAACAUAUAUGAACAUAAUCGUGUAAAUAUUUUCUUGGAAGAUUGCAUUUUUAGAUGUACAGAUUAUGAAAUAGAGACAAGCCCUUAAACCCCAAAUACUUAAAAAUAUAUAUUAAAGCCGAUAAAUCAUUAAAAAAUUAAUUAUCUUAAUACUCAAAUUUUUGAAUUUAACGAGAUUACUAAGUUGCAAUAUACUCGGGUAUUAUUUUUAGUUGCAAAUAUACAUUCAAAUUAAGAACCCACAAAAUAGAAACAAAAUAUCCGGAAACAAGAAUAUUGAAAUAUAAACAAAAAUCGCAGAGUUGUAAAACAAAAUAUCGAAUAUACGAAGCAUAAAUAUCUGGCCAAUCAUUAUAGUUGCAAAUCUUCUAUUCAUGAUUCAAAAUAAAUCAAUAAAUCUAAUUUUCCAUAACUUAAAUAAACUUGAUGGUCAAGAUAUGGAUUAUGACGGUAUAUUCUCUAACUGUAUUGAAUCGGAAUAUGCUAAAGUCACAUAUUUAUAUAUAUUUCAUUUGAAACCUCUAAAGCAAACACGUUAUUUUCUAAAAGUUUUUGAUAUCAUGUCUUACAAACAAAAGAUUUCAUACCUUGAUCAGAUUAGGCCAUGGCAAAAGACGUGGUUGAUCCAAGCCAAAGUGGUACACACCUGAAACCAUCCAAUAUCGGGUUUGGUGAGAGUUUGGAAAUCAUAUUAGCAGACAAACAUGUAAUCAAAAUUAAUCACCUAACAUAGAUUAGCAUAUAGAUGUUUUGUGUUUCGUCUGUGUUUGUUUUUGUGAGAUCGUGGUUAAACACCUAUGUUAUUUAAUUUAUUUUCUUGCAAGGCUGCAAAAUUCAAGCUACAUUUAACAAGAACUAUUUGAAUUCUUUGGAGAAUGAAUGCAAGAAGUAUACCUUCGGAGUAUUGGGGUCCAUUUUAAUUUGUCUGGCAUAAACUUUCAAGAAGUAUGCAUUCGAUUCUUCGAAGUCAUCACAACACUCAUCGCAAUAACAAUAUAAGUCAUCGGAUACAACAUGCAAAACAGAUCGAAAAAAUUAGUUAGAUCAAAUUAUUGUUUGUUCUUCAUAAAACGUUUAAACAGAACGAGCUAGCUAUGGAUCAAGAAGAAAGACAAAGAUGUAACCCUACGGAUUUGAUUAGGUGCUUUUGUCGGGGGAGAUCUUCAUCUUCAUCUCUUAAGCAAAGACGAACCGACUGUUGAGAGUUAAAUGUUUAUUUUUCUUCUGUCAAAUAGUAAUCUGAAAAAGGAAAACAAAUUAUAUUUUUGGGUUCACUUAAUGAACUUUGAGCCCAUAUGUUUUAAUUAAAAAAGCAUAAGGCCCGAACCUAAAACCCAUCUCUAACAUAUAAAUAAAUACAUUAUAUUUUAUGAAAAUGAGUUACUGAUUUUAAAUAAUUACAUAAUUGUAUUUCAAAGUAUUUUAAAACAAAAUCGAGAUUUAUUAAAAGUAAAACAUAAAAUAUUUACUUAUUUUUUAAUUCAUUUCAGCAAAAAAAAAUAAAAUUGAGGUAAUGAAACACGUUAUACGAGCGAGCAUAUCAAGUGACAAACCUUUGGAGUUUUUGUGAGAUUAAUGCCAAAUCGAAGGAGUUCACCAUGAUCUUUCUUUGACUGCCUCAGAUCUGCUUUGAUUUCAUCAGGAGUACACAUUAAACCCGAUUUGAAACGACAUGCAAAAGAUUGCAAAAACCAAAAAAAAAGUUUGCAAGUAAUAUUUUGUGUUCACGAUAUGCAAAAGAUAGCAAACAACCUGCUAUAUUCAAAAUCAUUAUUCUAACAAGGAUGAAGAAAAUAAAGAAAUGAUUUACCCUGGAGAUCGUCCAUGACUCGAUAACUCUCUAUAAUCACCAUUAGAGAUAAUC